UACGUAGGGCGCAAGCGUUGUCCGGAAUUACUGGGCGUAAAGAGUUCGUAGGCGGUUUGUCGCGUCGUUUGUGAAAACUCACAGCUCAACUGUGAGCCUGCAGGCGAUACGGGCAGACUUGAGUACUGCAGGGGAGACUGGAAUUCCUGGUGUAGCGGUGAAAUGCGCAGAUAUCAGGAGGAACACCGGUGGCGAAGGCGGGUCUCUGGGCAGUAACUGACGCUGAGGAACGAAAGCGUGGGUAGCAAACAGG
rnacentral:rRNA from 1 species